AUUGAACGCUGGCGGCAGGCCUAACACAUGCAAGUCGAGCGGAGCGGCGGAAGGGUAAGUAAGGCCUAGGACUCUGCCUGGUAGUGGGGGAUACCGUCCGGAAACGGGAGCUUAUACCGCAUCCUAUCAGAUGAGCCUAGGUCGGAUUAGCUAGUUGGUGGGGUAAAGGCCUACCAAGGCGACGAUCCGUAUCGGGUCCGAGAGGAUGAUCAGUCACACUGGAACGGAGACACGGGCCAGACUCCUACGGGAGGCAGCAGUGGGGAAUAUUGGACAAUGGGCGAAAGCCUGAUCCAGCCAUGCCGCGUGUGUGAAGAAGGUGUUCGGAUUGUAAAGCACUGUAAGUUGGGAGGCGUUACCAACAGAAUAAGCACCGGCUAACUUCGUGCCAGCAGCCGCGGUAAUUC
rnacentral:rRNA from 1 species